rnacentral:rRNA from 1 species
CUACGGGAGGCAGCAGUGGGGAAUUUUGCGCAAUGGGCGAAAGCCUGACGCAGCGACGCCGCGUGGAGGAUGAAGGUUUUCGGAUUGUAAACUCCUUUUGUAGGGGAAGAUAAUGACGGUACCCUAUGAAUAAGCCACGGCUAACUCUGUGCCAGCAGCCGCGGUAAGACAGAGGUGGCAAGCGUUGUUCGGAAUUACUGGGCUUAAAGGGCGCGUAGGUGGUGGCAUAAGUCCGAGGUGGAAGACUACAGCUUAACUGUAGAAUUGCCUUGGAAACUGUAUCACUUGAGUCAGCGAGGGGAUGGCGGAAUUCCAGGUGUAGCGGUGAAAUGCGUAGAUAUCUGGAGGAAGGCCGGUGGCGAAGGCGGCCAUCUGGCGCUGAACUGACACUGAGGCGCGAAAGCGUGGGGAGCAAACAGGAUUAGAUACCCCGGU